rnacentral:rRNA from 1 species
UACGGGGGGGGCAAGCGUUGUUCGGAAUUACUGGGCGUAAAGGGCUCGUAGGCGGCCAACUAAGUCAGACGUGAAAUCCCCAGGCUUAACCUGGGAACUGCGUCUGAUACUGGAUGGCUUGAAUUCGGGAGAGGGAUGCAGAAUUCCAGGUGUAGCGGUGAAAUGCGUAGAUAUCAAGAGGAACACCUGAGGUGAAGACGGGUUGCUGGGCUGACACUGACGCUGAGGCGCGAAAGCUAGGGUAGCAAACGGG